AACGAACGCUGGCGGCAUGCCUAACACAUGCAAGUCGAACGAGACCUUCGGGUCUAGUGGCGCACGGGUGCGUAACGCGUGGGAACCUGCCCUUAGGUUCGGAAUAACUCCCCGAAAGGGGUGCUAAUACCGGAUAAUGUCUUCGGACCAAGGAUUUAUCGCCUUUGGAUGGGCCCGCGUUGGAUUAGCUAGUUGGUAGGGUAAAAGCCUACCAAGGCGACGAUCCAUAGCUGGUCUGAGAGGAUGAUCAGCCACACUGGGACUGAGACGCGGCCCAGACUCCUACGGGAGGCAGCAGUGGGGAAUAUUGGACAGUGGGCGGAAGCCUGAUCCAGCAAUGCCGCGUGAGUGAUGAAGGCCUUAGGGUUGUAAAGCUCUUUUACCCGGGAUGAUAAUGACAGUACCGGGAGAAUAAGCUCCGGCUAACUCCGUG
rnacentral:rRNA from 1 species